UAGGGAAUCUUCCACAAUGGACGCAAGUCUGAUGGAGCAACGCCGCGUGAGUGAAGAAGGCUUUCGGGUCGUAAAACUCUGUUAUUGAAGAAGAACGUGUGUGACAGUAACUGGUCAUGCAGUGACGGUAUUCAAUCAGAAAGUCACGGCUAACUACGUGCCAGCAGCCGCGGUAAUACGUAGGUGGCAAGCGUUGUCCGGAUUUAUUGGGCGUAAAGCGAGUGCAGGCGGUCUUUUAAGUCUGAUGUGAAAGCCUUCGGCUUAACCGAAGAAGGGCAUCGGAAACUGGGAGACUUGAGUGCAGAA
rnacentral:rRNA from 1 species